rnacentral:misc_RNA from 1 species
UAAUAAGUGUUUUUAUGGCACUUUUUAAAUCCAUAAUCCACCUUGUGUGCAAUGUCAGGUCGAUCUUCUUCAUGGAGAUUCGACCAAAGCAUCAACCUUUAUUCUUUUAACAUCUUUGUCUGAAAAAUAAUUAUGAAUAAACAAUUCUAAAAUA